AGUGAACGCUGGCGGUAGGCCUAACACAUGCAAGUCGAACGGCAGCACAGUAAGAACUUGCUCUUACGGGUGGCGAGUGGCGGACGGGUGAGGAAUACAUCGGAAUCUACUUUUUCGUGGGGGAUAACGUAGGGAAACUUACGCUAAUACCGCAUACGACCUACCGGUGAAAGCAGGGGAUCUUCGGACCUUGCGCGAUUGAAUGAGCCGAUGUCGGAUUAGCUAGUUGGCGGGGUAAAGGCCCACCAAGGCGACGAUCCGUAGCUGGUCUGAGAGGAUGAUCAGCCACACUGGAACUGAGACACGGUCCAGACUCCUACGGGAGGCAGCAGUGGGGAAUAUUGGACAAUGGGCGCAAGCCUGAUCCAGCCAUACCGCGUGGGUGAAGAAGGCCUUCGGGUUGUAAAGCCCUUUUGUUGGGAAAGAAAAGCAGCAGGUUAAUACCCCGCUGUUCUGACGGUACCCAAAGAAUAAGCACCGGCUAACUUCGUG
rnacentral:rRNA from 1 species